GAUGAACGCUGGCGGCGUGCCUAAUACAUGCAAGUCGAGCGAACGGACGAGAAGCUUGCUUCUCUGAUGUUAGCGGCGGACGGGUGAGUAACACGUGGAUAACCUACCUAUAAGACUGGGAUAACUUCGGGAAACCGGAGCUAAUACCGGAUAAUAUUUUGAACCGCAUGGUUCAAAAGUGAAAGACGGUCUUGCUGUCACUUAUAGAUGGAUCCGCGCUGCAUUAGCUAGUUGGUAAGGUAACGGCUUACCAAGGCAACGAUGCAUAGCCGACCUGAGAGGGGGAUCGGCCACACUGGAACUGAGACACGGCCCAGACCCCUACGGGAGGCAGCAGUAGGGAAUUUUCCGCAAUGGGCGAAAGCCUGACGGGGCAACCCCGCGGGAGUGAUGAAGGUCUUCGGAUCGUAAAACUUUGUUAUUAGGGAAAAAAAAAUUUGUAAGUAACUGUGCACAUUUUGACGGUACCUAAACAAAAAGCCACGGCUAACUACGU
rnacentral:rRNA from 1 species